rnacentral:ncRNA from 1 species
AUUAUGGAGAGUUUGAUCCUGGCUCAGGAUGAACGCUGGCGGCGUGCCUAAUACAUGCAAGUCGAGCGAACCACUUCGGUGGUGAGCGGCGAACGGGUGAGUAACACGUAGGUUAUCUGCCCAUCAGACGGGGACAACGAUUGGAAACGAUCGCUAAUACCGGAUAGGACGAAAGUUUAAAGGUGCUUCGGCACCACUGAUGGAUGGG